rnacentral:lncRNA from 1 species
CUGUUGGUAUUUCUUAUCUGUUCCAAAUCUUUGUUAAUAAAUGGCAAAAGACUUUUGCUAUUGUGCCUACACCAGUUUUCAAUAGUUCAGCUUGUAUGUUGCCAAUGCCUGGAGCCUUACCAUUACUGAGUGCCCUUAUACUAUUUAUUAUCUCUUUUAUGGUUGGUGGUUCAAUAUUCAUAUUAACAACAUAUGAAGGCUGAAUAUCGGCUAUUACUGGUGGAUCUUCCGAGUUUAAAAUCUCUUCAAAAUGUUCUUUCAAUCUCUCUAACUGUUCCUACUCGUUGGUUAUUACAUGUCCCUCUUUUGAAUUAACAGGUCUGUUCCCUUGGAAAUUUUCUUACUCAGCAUAUAUAGCUUGUUCUACCCUUCCUUACUUGCUGCCUCUUCUGCACUUUUUGCUAUAUUAUCAAUAUAUUUUCUUUUAUCAUCUUUUGUACUAAAUUUUACCUCCUUGUUCUUAUCGUUAUAAUCUUUCUCAAGCUUUUCUUUCUGUCUUUGUGAUCUUGUAGCAUUGAUUUUUUGUUUUCUUGUAUUUUGUGGAUAAUGUUGGUAGUGAUCCAUUCUGGUUGUUUCCUGUCUUUAAAUCCCAGUAUUUGUUCACCAACCUCACAUAUUGCUUGUUUAAUAUAUAUCCACUGUUCUUCUAGGCUUUCUGUUUCUCCCAAUACCUGAAAUCUGUUCCUUAACUCAAGUUUGAAUUCUUGUGCAACUUUUGGUAUCUUUAGCUUAUCUGUGUCAUAUUUUUUCUUCUGUCCCUUAUUUACUCUCUGUCUACAAAGUUUAAGCUUAACUCUGGAAAUAAGUAGUUCAUGAUCACUACCAACAUCAGCACCUCUAUAUGACCGUACAUUUUCCAUAGAUCUUCUAAACCUUUUGUCAAUCUGAUUCUUGAUGUUUCCGUCUGGUCACGUCCCUGUAUAUCUAUAAAUAUCUUUAUGUUGCAAUAUGCUAUAGCAAAUUGCAAUGUUGUUAGUCUGACAAUAAUCCUGAAAUAGUUCUCCGUUCUCAUUGAUAACACCAUACCCGUUCUCCCCAAUUACAUCUUCAUAUCCAUCAUUAUCUGAUCCUAUCUUUGCAUUCAUGUCACCCAUUACUAUUAUCAUAUCAUGUUUAUGGACUUUUGCUGUUACAGCAUCAAGAUUUGGUAGAAUUCCUCUUUUACUUCACCCGAAGCUUCGUUCGUUGGUGCAUAACACUGUAUUAUGGUCAACUUUAUAUGUCUAGAAACAAAUCGACCUGUUAUUAUUCUUUCAUUAACGGGUUGCCAUUCCAUGAGUGUUUGUCUGUUUGCUUUAGACAUAAUUAGUGCUACUCCAUACUCAUGCCUUUCUAUUUGUCCAGAGUAUAGCAUAGUCUCAUCACCUCUUAUGUUGAUCUUUCCUGUUCCGGUCCAUUGACAUUCACUAAUACCCAAUACAUCAAUUCCAUAGUUUUUCAUUCCAUUUACUAUCUGGUAUGUCUUCCCAGG